GAGAUAACUCAUUAGCUGACUUGGCCAAAACGCACCGUAUCACUAAGACCCUUUCCUUGACCCACUGACCCAUCUUUGAAUAAAGAGGAAGUCUCGAGCUGUAGGAAGUGGGGCUGGCACUGAGUUUUUGGACCUGGAACGCUGAGCAGAAGUGGAUUGAAAGGUUGGACGCUGGGCAAAAACUAAUGUUAGCAUCAAAGCUGCAGAAGACAAGGGUUAGAGUAAGCUUAGAUUACUGGAGGAGGGCACUUGAGUGCUGAACAGAACAUUGGGACUCCGAGACUGCAAAACCAGAUUUCAGUGCUCUCUCUUUUGAGGUGAACCAAUCCUUGACGUAGCAUCUUAGAGGGUGGAAACCUAUUUGGAGCUUGAAGCCUUGAAAAGAGACAAGAAGAGGAGGAUUGGAGAGAAGGGCUUCUUUUUUGUUGUAUUCACAAAUUCUUUCUUUGAGUUGUAAUUUUUAUCUACUUUCUUCUUUGUAACUUUGGCUUAAUGAGGUGUCUUAGGAGAACAUUUGGUGUUUAGUCUCAUGUCCUAAUUAGAAUCUUAUACUCUAUUGUGAAUUGCUUUUAGUUGGUUAGUGUUUUGAAGAUUCUAAGUGCCUCCUAAGCUUACCAUUAGGUUGCAUAGAUUAGAUUCAUUGUUUUCUUUGAUUGUGUGUCUACUUUCAUAUCAAA